UCUUCUUCUAAAACACACUCACCGUCACAAAACAAAACAAAAAGAUGUUCAUAUUCAUCCUCCGUCGCACCGCCACUCGCCGCCGCUACACCACCACCACAACCACCGCAACCUCAAACCUCUACACAAAAUACUCUUUCACCCCUCCACCACACAAAACACUAGCAUCAACACCAAAAAGAAAAAACCCCUUUACAGACCACCUUCAUCUUUGGACCGGGCCGGUUCAAAACCCGUAAAAACCGACUUACCCUUUGAUUUCCGGUUCAGUCACACAGAAAGUAGUCCUGAGGUGAGACCCAUUGGUCUCAGAGAGCCAAAGUACUCGCCUUUUGGACUGGAACGUGUUGAUCACGUGUGGACGGGUGUAUGUGCCCCUGCUGUGGACCCCAUGGCUGGGAAAGAACAAGUUGAGAAGUUGGAAGUUGAGAGGAAAAAAAUUAGGGAAAGGAUUCAAGGACCUGAACUGACUAAUGCUGAAAGACUGGAGUUGGUUCACAGAUUUGGGAAACAUAAAACCAAAAGAAGGAUUUUAUUUCGAGGAAUCCUGUUGAUGAGGCUGUAGCUCAAAGAUUGACUUCUACCCAGCAUUGGAGAGCAGGAUUAGUUGACAAAAGCAUACAGCUUCUACCAGAAGUUGAACAACAAAAGGUGAAAAGUGGGCAAAUCACUGAGUUAGUCUCCUCAGAGAACGACAACAUUGCUUCAGAAAAUCACAAUCAUCAUGAAGUACCUAUCCCUUCUUAUACUAACUCUUCUAUUAUUUUACGAAUGAGCAAUGAAACCCCGCCACCAAAAUCAUAUAUAGGUGGAUUAUCAAACUAUGGUAGUCCUUCGGUUUUAUAAGCGAAUGCCUUUAACGAUUCAGAAAGAGGGAUGAGCAUGCUUAAGUCCAUCAGUAAAAACCUCCCAUUUGAAACAGAGGUUCUUCAAGGAUGCGGAAGAACAAGUAUUUCCAGAAUGACCAGAAUGGGUCAACCAAUCAGCUUCCAAGUUCUAGUCCAUAUUUUAGAAAUUUUGGUUCUAAUAUUGAAGAUUCACCUAGUAGCAUCGGGGGCUUAUUUAAGUCUUCUCAUUUUGAUGGGAUUUCGAAAGCUUCUGGUACACGAUCGAGUAGACUUGGUAGAGAUGUUAUGGAGGCUUCGAGUGAUUUUAUGGACAUGCCUUGGAGCAACAAAGAUCAGAUACUUCCUAAGCAGACAAAUUUUUGAAUGGUGGACCGAGAUGGAGGUCGAAUGAUGUAGGAGAUUAUGAAGAUCAGCAGAGUCCCAAUAGACUCACAGGAGGUACCACCCCCUCGAGGGUAUUCAGAAGGCGGAAAACCAGAAGAUGACUCCUUUUGAGAUUUUACAACCUUAACAAUCCUGUCCUGAUUGAUUAAACACGCAUGUUGCAGUUGAUGCACAAUUGGAUUACUCUGAUACAAGAGUUGUUAGAUGAAAGAAUGCCAGGUUUCAGUUGUCUUUUAUCCUAUAUGACCUAGUUUUGUAUCUUAUAAUUUCACGAAGAGUCUACAAGUAAAGAUUCUGUUUAUUUGAAACUUAUGAGUCUUAUAUGGACUCUUGUAUUGUUAAAUUCGGUUGCUUUUUGGAAUCUGAAAAUGUUAUGAAAAAUUUUGAUAUAUGAAUAUAUGAUCAA